CGCCAGCCUGAUUGAGGCUUUGCGAUGCGCCCUGCCGGAUCGCCUGGGCGAGAUUGUUCUCGCUGUCGCUGGUGCCGGCUUCCGCGCUGACGC
rnacentral:tRNA from 1 species